GCUUUUAAUGCAGGUUCUUACUUCAUUUUUGGUGGCUCAAUGACAUGUUGGCUGAUUAAGCACCAAUUAUAUUCUUGAUGAUCAUUAUCAUAGGCAGCUCAACAUGUUGUAUGAAUUCAAGGAUCACAGUUGUGAAUGGAAAAUCAUGGGAGAUUGAACAAUUUUGAAUUUUGGUUUGAAUGAAUCUAUGUCACUCGUAUAUUUCAAAAAGCAACAAUUAUUCUAGGGGACUUUGAAUUAAAUCUUCUAUGUUAUUCCAGUGUCAAGAACUCCAUAAUUGCGAAUUUACAUGGGUA
rnacentral:lncRNA from 1 species